GUUGUUCCCUCUUUCUGACGGGCGAUCUUCAUCGCCAGAGCUCUUCCAUUUUCCGAACGGCGCAAUCUUCCUCGCCAGAGCUCUGAAUCCUUCAAGAAUUUCCUCGUGCCAUGCAGAUUCAUCUCAAAUAGGUACAAAUUGAAAGAUCCAUUGAUUUAAGAUCCUAGAUGGAUUUCUU